GAUGAACGCUAGCUACAGGCUUAACACAUGCAAGUCGAGGGGAAACGCCAUCGUUAGCUUGCUUGUGAUGGGCGUGGACGGGCGCACGGGUGAGUAAUGCGUAUCCAACCUGCCCAUCACUUGUUCAGGACCUUGCGAAAGUAAGACUAAUACCCAAUGAUAUCCCUAGAAGGCAUCGGAAAGAGAUUACGGAUGUGGCGGUGAUGGAUGGAUAUGCGGCUGAUUAGCGUGUUGGCGGGGUAACGGCCUACCAAGGCUACGACGGGUAGGGGGCCUGAGAGGGUGACCGGCAACAUUGGGACUGAGGUACGGCCCAGACUCCUACGGGAGGCAGCAGUGGGGAAUAUUGCACAAUGGGCGGAAGCCUGAUGCAGCAACGCCGCGUGCGGGAUGACGGCCUUCGGGUUGUAAACCGCUUUCGCCUGUGACGAAGCGUGAGUGACGGUAAUGGGUAAAGAAGCACCGGCUAACUACGUG
rnacentral:rRNA from 1 species